CGAAGGGAGACGUAGGCCAGACCUUCACAUUUUCGGACGUCUCGGUCCUCGCCUUUUUGUGAACUCCUCGAGUGUAUAAUCGAACAGUCUUGCCGCCGCUUCAGCUGCUACCCCUAGUUUUAAGUCACUAGAAUCUACGAGCCGGUGAAGCUUUGUGUUGUUUGUGUGAUGUCCUGAAUCAGCUAGAAGUGAUUUUCUUUUUCUUUUGUAUCAAAUGAAACUUGAAAGGAUCUUUUGAUAUUUAGAUGAUGUUCAUUUACUCAGUGGCGAUUGUACCUGGUUAAAUCACAACGAGUCUAGGGCGGCUCAGUUUACUUUC
rnacentral:lncRNA from 1 species